rnacentral:lncRNA from 1 species
UUUUAGAAAAGAAGAGCUUAUGCCUUAUAUCUAAGACAAACCUUUAUAGAAAGUGUUUUAGGGUUUGCCUGACUUACACUUCCAUUUUGCUAUUUCCUUCUUCAAGACCAAUUCAAGUUCCAUUUCCCCCCAUUUCUAGGGUUUGGAUUUUUUUAAUUUACUCUUCUUUGAUUAGGAUUUGUGCAAAAAAAGAAGAAAAAAAUGGCGAUCUCAAUGCAACCUCAUGGCAUNNNNN